UGAAAUUUGUAGAGAGAUAACGCU
rnacentral:miRNA from 1 species